rnacentral:rRNA from 1 species
GGCGGACGGGUGAGUAACGCGUAAGGAACUUGCCUCUUGGACUGGGACAACUGUUGGAAACGACAGCUAAUACCGGAUAUUAUGAGAUUCUCGCAUGAGAAACUUAUGAAAGCUAUAUGCGCCAAGAGAGAGCCUUGCGUUCCAUUAGCUAGUUGGUGGGGUAACGGCCCACCAAGGCGACGAUGGAUAGCCGGCCUGAGAGGGUGAACGGCCACAAGGGGACUGAGACACGGCCCUUACUCCUACGGGAGGCAGCAGUGGGGAAUAUUGACAAUCCCCCACAAUCCUGAUCCAUCAAUUCUCUGUGCACGAUGAAGGUCUUCGGAUUGUAAGGGAGUUUCAGUUGGUAAGAAGAAAGUGACGGUACCAACAGAAGAAGCGACGGGGGGGGGACGUGCCAGCAGCCGCGGUAAUACGUAUGUCGCAAGCGUUAUCCGGAUUUAUUGGGCGUAAAGCGCGUCUAGGCGGAAAAAUAAGUCUGAUGUUAAAAUGCGGGGCUCAACUCCGUAUUGCGUUGGAAACUGUUUUUCUAGAGUACUGGAGAGGUGGGCGGAACUACAAGUGUAGAGGUGAAAUUCGUAGAUAUUUGUAGGAAUGCCGAUGGAGAAGUCAGCUCACUGGACAGAUACUGACGCUGAAAGCGCGAAAGCGUGGGGAGCAAACAGGAUUAGAUACCCUGUUAGUCCACGCCGUAAACGAUGAUCACUAGGUGUUGGGGGUCGAACCUCACCGCCCAAGCUAACGCGAUAAGUUGAUCCGCCUGGGGAGUACGCACGCAAGUGGUGAAACUUCAAAGAAUUGACGGUGACCCGCACCAACCGUCGGAGCAAUGUGCGUUUUAAUU